AGUCGAGCGGAUGAGAAGAGCUUGCUCUUCGAGUUAGCGGCGGACGGGUGAGUAAUGCCUAGGAAUCUGCCUGGUAGUGGGGGACAACGUUUCGAAAGGAACGCUAAUACCGCAUACGUCCUACGGGAGAAAGCAGGGGACCUUCGGGCCUUGCGCUAUCAGAUGAGCCUAGGUCGGAUUAGCUAGUUGGUGAGGUAAUGGCUCACCAAGGCGACGAUCCGUAACUGGUCUGAGAGGAUGAUCAGUCACACUGGAACUGAGACACGGUCCAGACUCCUACGGGAGGCAGCAGUGGGGAAUAUUGGACAAUGGGCGAAAGCCUGAUCCAGCCAUGCCGCGUGUGUGAAGAAGGUCUUCGGAUUGUAAAGCACUUUAAGUUGGGAGGAAGGGCAGUAAGCGAAUACCUUGCUGUUUUGACGUUACCGACAGAAUAAGCACCGGCUAACUCUGUGCCAGCAGCCGCGGUAAU
rnacentral:rRNA from 1 species